rnacentral:rRNA from 1 species
GAUGAACGCUGGCGGCGUGCCUAAUACAUGCAAGUCGAGCGAACAGAUGAGGAACUUGCUCCUCUGACGUUAGCGGCGGACGGGUGAGUAACACGUGGAUAACCUACCUAUAAGACUGGGAUAACUUCGGGAAACCGGAGCUAAAACCGGAUAAUAUAUUGAACCGCAUGGUUCAAUAGUGAAAGACGGUUUUGCUGUCACUUAUAGAUGGAUCCGCGCCGCAUUAGCUAGUUGGUAAGGUAACGGCUUACCAAGGCAACGAUGCGUAGCCGACCUGAGAGGGUGAUCGGCCACACUGGAACUGAGACACGGUCCAGACUCCUACGGGAGGCAGCAGUAGGGAAUCUUCCGCAAUGGGCGAAAGCCUGACGGAGCAACGCCGCGUGAGUGAUGAAGGUCUUCGGAUCGUAAAACUCUGUUAUUAGGGAAGAACAAAUGUGUAAGUAACUAUGCACGUCUUGACGGUACCUAAUCAGAAAGCCACGGCUAACUACGUG